GUGAGCCGGAUGCGGGAAAUCUGCACGUCCGGUUCGACGAGGGGGAGGGUGACAGAAGAGGCAUGGUCUGCGGGCUCUUUGCCACGACGCCCGAAAGAGCUGAUACAACGGAAGCCCGUGACCUAAACAACUCCUGUCUCCCUCUCUACUCUAC
rnacentral:ncRNA from 1 species